rnacentral:rRNA from 1 species
GCAGCCGCGGUAAUUCCAGCUCCAAUAGCGUAUAUUAAAGUUGUUGCAGUUAAAACGUCCGUAGUCAAAUUUUAGUCUUUUAGGCUGAGUGGCCUGUUCUUCAUUGAGCAAGUUCGCUUUGGCCAAGACUUUUUCGGUUAGGUAUGGCAAUGGUUGGUUUCGGCCGGUUGUUGUUCUCUGCCUAGCUAAUUACCAUGAGCAAAUCAGAGUGUUUAAAGCAGGCUUUUAAGCUUGAAUGUGUUAGCAUGGAAUAAUGGAAUAUGACCCAGGUCUUAUUUCGUUGGUUUAAGAACUUGAGUAAUGAUGAAUAGAAACGGUUGGGGGCAUUUGUAUUUGGUCGCUAGAGGUGAAAUUCUUGGAUUGACCGAAGACAAACUACUGCGAAGGCAUUUGACCCAGGACGUUUUCAUUGAUCAAGGUCUAAAGUUAAGGGAUCGAAGACGAUUAGAUACCGUCGUAGUCUUAACCACAAACUAUGCCGACUAGAGAUUGGGCUUGUUUAUUAUGACUAGCUCAGCAUCUUAGCGAAAGUAAAGUUUUUGGGUUCUGGGGGGAGUAUGGGACGCAAGGCUGAAACUUAAAGGAA